AUGUGGAGUGAGUUACCGCAAGACAUCGUUGAAUCAAUCUCCAAAAAGUUUAGAAUAUAUUUCGAUUAUCUCCGAUUCCGAUCCAAUAAAAUCCAUCAACUCAAUCUGGCUCCAUAUUCAUCUCCUGGAACUGUUGUCUGCGGUUCUUCUCAUGGCUGGCUUUCCAUUCUCGACGAAACCUCAGAUCUUCGUCUUGUUAACCUUAUUACACUCUCCACAAUACCACUUCCUAAACUUCCAGUUACAAUUAGAAUGGGUUUACAGCAUAAAAUCAUGUGUGUUAUCAAAGUUGUUUUGUCAUCUAGCCCCUCCCUUAGUAUGGGUUUGCAGCAUAACAAGAUUUAUGUGACUAGUUAA